GGUGGCCGCAGAGAAUAGGCCCAAGCGACUGUUUACCAAAAACAUAGGUUUCUGCUAAGUCGCAAGACGAUGUAUAGGAGCUGACGCCUGCCCGGUGCUGGAAGGUUAAGGGGAUCUGUUAGAGCAAUCGAAGCAGUGAACUUAAGCCCCAGUAAACGGCGGCCGUAACUAUAACGGUCCUAAGGUAGCGAAAUUCCUUGUCGGGUAAGUUCCGACCCGCACGAAAGGCGUAACGAUUUGGGCACUGUCUCAACAACAGACUCGGUGAAAUUGUAAUUCCGGUGAAGAUGCCGGAUACCUGCGACAGGACGGAAAGACCCCAUGGAGCUUUACUGUAGCUUGACAUUGGGUCUUGGUACUACAUGUACAGGAUAGGUGGGAGGCUUUGAAACCAGGACGCCAGUUUUGGCGGAGCCAUCCUUGGGAUACCACCCUUGUAGUACUGGGACUCUAACCAUAGGCCAUGAAUCUGGUCUUGGGACACUGUCAGGUGGGCAGUUUGACUGGGGCGGUCGCCUCCCAAAAGGUAACGGAGGCGCUCAAAGGUUCUCUCAGUACGGUCGGAAAUCGUACGUAGAGUGUAAAGGCAAAAGAGAGCUUGAUUGCAAGACAUACAGGUCGAGCAAGGAUGAAAAUCGGACUUAGUGAUCCGGUGGUUCUGCGUGGAAGGGCCAUCGCUCAACGGAUAAAAGCUACCCUGGGGAUAACAGGCUUAUCUCCCCCAAGAGUCCACAUCGACGGGGAGGUUUGGCACCUCGAUGUCGGCUCAUCACAUCCUGGGGCUGUAGUAGGUCCCAAGGGUUGGGCUGUUCGCCCAUUAAAGUGGUACGCGAGCUGGGUUCAGAACGUCGUGAGACAGUUCGGUCCCUAUCCGUCGCAGGCGUAGGAAAUUUGAGAAGACCUGUCCUUAGUACGAGAGGACCGGGAUGGACGUACCUCUGGUGUACCAGUUGUCCUGCCAAGGGCAUGGCUGGGUAGCUAUGUACGGAAUGGAUAAGCGCUGAAAGCAUCUAAGCGCGAAGCCAACUUCAAGAUAAGAUUUCCCACCGCAAGGGUAAGACCCCAGAAAGACUAUCUGGUUGAUAGGUCGAAGGUGUAAGUGCAGCAAUGUAUUUAGCUUAUCGAUACUAAUAGGUCGAGGACUUGACCAA
rnacentral:rRNA from 1 species